rnacentral:rRNA from 1 species
GUGUCAGCCGCCGCGGUAAGACAGAGGGUGCAAACGUUGCUCGGAAUUACUGGGCGUAAAGCGCGUGUAGGCGGACGGGCAAGUCAGGUGUGAAAUCCCCGAGCUCAACUUGGGAACUGCACUUGAAACUACCUGUCUUGAGUGAUGGAGAGGGCAGCGGAAUUCCUGGUGUAGAGGUGAAAUUCGUAGAUAUCAGGAGGAACACCGGUGGCGAAGGCGGCUGCCUGGACAUCCACUGACGCUGAGACGCGAAAGCGUGGGGAGCAAACAGGAUUAGAUACCCCCGUAGUCC